rnacentral:snRNA from 1 species
GGAUGUGAGGGUGAUCUGGCUGUGACAUCUGUCAUUCCAUUGAUCGCCAGGGUUGAUCCGGCUGAUCUGGCUGGCUAGGCGGGUGUCCCUUUCCUCCCUCGCCGCUCCAUGUGCGUCUCUCCCGAAGCUGCGCGCUUGGUUGAAGAGGGCUACCUUCCCUGAUAGAGGCGUACCGUUCGUCGGUCAAGGGUAUACAGUAGCUGUGCUCCCCUGCUAGAACCUCCA